UGCUAUGGAAAGAUAGGAUGACAGGUCCUGU
rnacentral:piRNA from 1 species